GCCGAAGUGGUGGAAUUGGUAGACGCGCUGCGUUCAGGGCGCAGUAGGGUUUAACCCUGUGGGGGUUCGAGUCCCCCCUUCGGCACCA
rnacentral:tRNA from 1 species